rnacentral:pre_miRNA from 1 species
AAUACCUGGGUUUCCGUAUCCAAUAUUUGACCGUCCGUCUUAUUUUAAAAAAAUAUAAAAAAAUUAAAAAAAUAAGUCACGUAUAAAGUAUUAAUUAUGUUUUACCAUCUAACAACAAUAAAAAUACUAAUUAUAAAAAAAAAUUUAUAUAAGACAUACAGUCAAAUGUUGAACACGGAAACUCAGGGUUUGUCUUUUU